UAUAUUGUGCCCGAGUUAAGGGGCUGUUUUGAUUUAACAGAGACGGCUAUAUUGCCCUUUAUAA
rnacentral:tRNA from 1 species